UGAGUCGAUCCUAAGCCAACUGUGAAAGCAGUGACAUCCCGACAAAGGGGCAUUACGUGCGCUGCACUUACACCCCCACGGCAAAGCUCUGAGAUAUAUAUAUAUCUCUCUCUCUCUCUGACGAUAAAGGUGUCUGGUACGGAAUAUGCGCACGCACGGUGAUCACUACAAAUACGUGUGUGAGUGUGUGCGCUUGUAUGGUUACGCUCAUAAGCGUUGUUGCUCUCUGGUAAAAGGAUAAAGCAUAAGGGAGAGAGAGAGAGACACACAGAGUGUGGGUGAGCGUGAGUUUGCUCUCGCAUGAGCCCCCUGCGUCUGGUUCUAUGUCUGGCGAAAGGGAAUGGGGACUUUGUUCCUUGACCGGUCCCGGCACCCUCGAUUGGCUUUGCCAAUUAAUGGUCCAUGCAAAUGGAACCAGGCCACAGCCGCUGGCACUCGCCAGAAGAA
rnacentral:rRNA from 1 species